rnacentral:misc_RNA from 1 species
UGUUGGGGCUCAUCACCGGCGGCUGCAUGAUCUACUGGUUCACCGGGGCGUCGAUGCAGGCGGUGACGACCGGCGCCUACCGGGCCGUCGAGUUCAUCAAAGCCAACAUCAAGCUGGACGGAAUCGUCGAAAAGGCCUCGGUCGCAGACAGUAAGAAGGUCGUCGAGAUCUGCACGCAAUACGCGCAGAAGGGGAUGUUCAACAUCUUCCUGGCCGUCUUCUUCGGCACGCUCGGGUUCGCCUUCCUCGAGCCCUAUUACUU